GCCAUUGCGGCGUCUAUAAUGCAGUCGAGCGGACAGAUGGGAGCUUGCUCCCUGAUGUUAGCGGCGGACGGGUGAGUAACACGUGGGUAACCUGCCUGUAAGACUGGGAUAACUCCGGGAAACCGGGGCUAAUACCGGAUGCUUGUUUGAACCGCAUGGUUCAAACAUAAAAGGUGGCUUCGGCUACCACUUACAGAUGGACCCGCGGCGCAUUAGCUAGUUGGUGAGGUAAUGGCUCACCAAGGCAACGAUGCGUAGCCGACCUGAGAGGGUGAUCGGCCACACUGGGACUGAGACACGGCCCAGACUCCUACGGGAGGCAGCAGUAGGGAAUCUUCCGCAAUGGACGAAAGUCUGACGGAGCAACGCCGCGUGAGUGAUGAAGGUUUUCGGAUCGUAAAGCUCUGUUGUUAGGGAAGAACAAGUACCGUUCGAAUAGGGCGGUACCUUGACGGUACCUAACCAGAAAGCCACGGCUAACUACGUGCCAGCAGCCGCGGUAAUACGUAGGUGGCAAGCGUUGUCCGGAAUUAUUGGGCGUAAAGGGCUCGCAGGCGGUUCCUUAAGUCUGAUGUGAAAGCCCCCGGCUCAACCGGGGAGGGUCAUUGGAAACUGGGGAACUUGAGUGCAGAAGAGGAGAGUGGAAUUCCACGUGUAGCGGUGAAAUGCGUAGAGAUGUGGAGGAACACCAGUGGCGAAGGCGACUCUCUGGUCUGUAACUGACGCUGAGGAGCGAAAGCGUGGGGAGCGAACAGGAUUAGAUACCCUGGUAGUCCACGCCGUAAACGAUGAGUGCUAAGUGUUAGGGGUUUUCCGCCCCUUAGUGCUGCAGCUAACGCAUUAAGCACUCCGCCUGGGGAGUACGGUCGCAAGACUGAAACUCAAAGGAAUUGACGGGGGCCCGCACAAGCGGUGGAGCAUGUGGUUUAAUUUCGAAGCAACGCGAAGAACCCUUUACCAGGUCUUGACAUCCUUCUGACAAUCCUAGAGAUAGGACGUUCCUCCUUUCUGGGGGCAGAGUGACACGUGGUUGCAUGGGUUGUUCGUUCAG
rnacentral:rRNA from 1 species